GCCAACAUAGCUCAGUCGGUAGAGCAACGCAUUCGUAAUGCGUAGGUCGUGGGUUCAAGUCCCAUUGUUGGCU
rnacentral:tRNA from 9 species